rnacentral:misc_RNA from 1 species
AAGCUGCACAGGAAGUCCAUUGCAUCCACGUACAAACAAGCCCGCAAGCAUCUUGUUUCCGUUAUACUGUGAUUCGUCAUUACAGUUGUAUCUUCACCGACCUCCCCGCCGCGCCUGUCUUUUUCCCUUCUUCAACUGCCCUUUCCUACCGUCUUCGACCAUGUCCGCGCUUCCGCAGCUCUACAUUCAGUGCAACCCGCUCCUCGACGUGUCUGCCCCUGUCGAUGACGCGUUCUUAGAGAAGUACAAGGUGCAGAAGACGUCUGCCUGUCUGAUGGAGGAGAUCCAUAAGGGCAUCUUCGAGGAGCUAGAGCAGCACCCCAACGUGACCUACGUCCCCGGCGGCUCUGGCCUCAACACCGCCCGCGUGGCGCAGUGGAUCGCGCAGGCCCCCAAGAGCAGCUUCGUCAACUACGUUGGCUGCGCCUCGGACGACAAGUACGGCAAAAUACUCAAGGAAGCCGCGGAGAAGGACGGUGUGAACAUGCACCUUGAGUACACAACAAAGGCUCCCACCGGCUCGUGCGCCGUGUGCAUCUCAGGCAAGGAUCGCUCGCUGGUGGCGAACUUGUCCGCAGCGAAUUUGCUCUCCGCGGAUCACAUGCACAGCAGCGAUGUCGUUGAGACGCUGAAGGGCUGCCAGCUCUACUACCUCACCGGCUUCACGCUGACGAUCGACGUGAACUACGUGCUUCAGGUGGCGGAGGCGGCCCGUGCAUCGGGUGGGCAGUUCAUGAUGAACCUCUCCGCCCCCUUCGUGCUGCAGUACUUCACGGAGAGCUUCAACAAGGCCGCGCCGUACCUCGACGUCAUCUUUGGUAACGAGGUCGAGGCUAAGGCACUUGCGGACGCCAUGAAGUGGAACCCCGCCAGCACCCACGAGUUGGCUAAAAAGGCAGCGAUGGAGCUGCCGUACAGCGGCACUCGCGACCGCCUCGUCGUCUUCACGCAGGGCAGCCAACCGACGGUGUACGCCACCCGCAGUGGCAAGACCGGCUCAGUCACGGUGCAGCCCAUCGCGCAGGACAGCAUUGUGGACCUGAACGGCGCCGGUGACGCCUUCGUUGGCGGCUUCCUUGCCGCGUACGCAAUGAGCUGCAGCAUCGAGCGGUGCUGCGAGGUGGGCAAUUACGCCGCCGGUGUCAUCAUCCAGCACAACGGCUGCACCUAUCCCGAGAAGCCGUCCAUCUCUCCGUGAAUGUGAGGGGCAUCGUUUUAUCUGGAGCUAAGAGGGAGCGGCGAGGCCCCUGCGGUGCACAUCCACACAUCGCAGCAUAUGCCGAGCCUUCCCUUGCUUCACUUGCGCUUUUGUUUGUGGCCCUCUCGUCUGCCACGAAACACCUCCUCCGCUCCCCCCUCCCUUCGCGCCUUUGUGGAGUGGCACAGGGCAUAACAGUCAGAUCGCAAAGGUCGGCUGCUAAGCUAAAAGGAAUAGGCCGAAUAAUGGAGUAUACACCGAAGGAAAACGGUGUGUGUGUGUGACUCUUUCCUGACUCUCCGCCUUCUCUCACUUCCGCCGUCGAUCAG